rnacentral:rRNA from 1 species
AGGGUGCAGGGCGGAUGCCUUGGCACUAGGAGCCGAUGAAGGACGUGAUAAGCUGCGAUAAGCUUCGGGGAGUUGCACGUAAACUUUGAUCCGAAGAUUUCCGAAUGAGGAAACUCACUUAGAGUAAUGUCUAAGUAUCGUUAAGUGAAUACAUAGCUUAGCGAGGGGAACCCGGGGAACUGAAACAUCUAAGUACCCGGAGGAAGAGAAAGAAAUUCGAUUCCGUAAGUAGCGGCGAGCGAACGCGGAACAGGCCAAACCAAUGAAGUUUACUUCGUUGGGGUUGCGGACAUACAACAUGGAUGCAAUAUCGUAAAUGAAGAGAGUUGGAAAGCUCCGCCAUAGAAGGUAAUAGCCCUGUAGUUGAAACGAGAAAGCUACUAGUAUGAUCCAGAGUACCACGGGACACGUGAAACCCUGUGGGAAGCAGGAGGGACCAUCCUCCAAGCCUAAAUACUACCUAGUGACCGAUAGCGCAUAGUACCGUGAGGGAAAGGUGAAAAGAACCCCGGGAGGGGAGUGAAAUAGAACCUGAAACCCUGCACUUACAAGCUGUGGGAGCACAUUACUUGUGUGACCGCGUACUUUUUGUAGAACGGGCCAACGAGUUACGUUAAGUAGCAAGGUUAAGCACUUAAGGUGUGGAGCCGUAGCGAAAGCGAGUCUUAAAUGGGCGAUUAAGUUACUUGGCGUAGACCCGAAACCGGGCGACCUAUCCAUGAGCAGGUUGAAGCGAAAGUAAAAUUUCGUGGAGGACCGAACCCACGAGCGUUGAAAAGCUCGGGGAUGACUUGUGGAUAGCGGUGAAAUUCCAAUCGAGCCCGGAGAUAGCUGGUUCUCCCCGAAAUAGCUUUAGGGCUAGCCUCAAGCGUAGAGAAACGGAGGUAGAGCACUGAAUGUCCUAGGGGGUAUUGCACUUACCGAAGACUAUCAAACUCCGAAUGCCGUUUUCUUUUACUUGGGAGUCAGACUGUGGGUGAUAAGAUUCAUAGUCAAAAGGGCAACAGCCCAGAUCGUCAGCUAAGGUCCCUAAAUGUACGUUAAGUGGUAAAGGAUGUGGGAUUGCACAGACAACCAGGAUGUUGGCUUAGAAGCAGCCACUCAUUUAAAGAGUGCGUAAUAGCUCACUGGUCGAGUGACUCUGCGCCGAAAAUUCAACGGGGCUAAAACCUGCACCGAAGCUUAGGCAUCCGCAAGGAUGGGUAGGGGAGCGUUGUGUACGAGGCGAAGCAUUAGCGAAAGCGGAUGUGGAUUGUACACAAGUGAGAAUGCCGGAAUAAGUAGCGCGAAUGAUGUGAGAAUCAUCAUGGCCGAAAGCCUCAGGUUUUUGGAGGAAGGUUCGUCCGCUCCAAGUUAGCCGGGAGCUAAGGUGAGGCCGAAAGGCGUAGCCGAUGCACAUACGGUAGAGAUUCCGUAGCCGCCGAAAGAUUUAAGCAGGGGGACACAUUUGAAGUGUUGGUGCCGGGUGUUGGUUUACCCGGUCGAAAGGGACUGAAAUUUAGUAGGGAAGUCCAGCAUGGAGAGUGGCGAGAAAAGCCCUGUGUAUAUCUAAGGCGCCCGUACCGCAAACCGACACAGGUAGGUAGGAAGAAGAUUCUAAGGCCAACGGGAGAAGGGUUGUUAAGGAACUCGGCAAGUUGACCCCGUAACUUCGGGAGAAGGGGUGCUCUGGAAACAGAGCCGCAGAGAAUAGGUCCAGGCAACUGUUUAGCAAAAACACAGCUCUCUGCUAAAUCGAAAGAUGAUGUAUAGGGGGUGACGCCUGCCCGGUGCUGGAAGGUUAAGAGGAGGAGUGAGAGCCCCGAAUCGAAGCCCCAGUAAACGGCGGCCGUAACUAUAACGGUCCUAAGGUAGCGAAAUUCCUUGUCAGGUAAGUUCUGACCCGCACGAAAGGCGUAAUGAUUUGGGCACUGUCUCAACAGCCCACCCGGCGAAAUUGUAGUACCGGUGAAGAUGCCGGUUACCCGCGACAAGACGGAAAGACCCCAUGGAGCUUUACUGCAGCCUAAUAUUGGAUUUCGGUAUUUCAUGUACAGGAUAGGUGGGAGACUGGGAAACACAGGCGUCAGCUUGUGCGGAGUCGCCCUUGGGAUACCACCCUUGAAGUGCUGGAAUUCUAACCUGUGGCCAUGAAUCUGGUCAGGGGACAUUGUUAGGCGGGCAGUUUGACUGGGGCGGUCGCCUCCAAAAGAGUAACGGAGGCGCUCAAAGGUUCGUUCAGCACGGACGGAAAUCGUGCAUUGAGUGUAAACGCAUAAACGAGCCUAACUGCGAGACCGACGGGUCGAGCAGUAACGAAAGUUGGAGUUAGUGAUCCGGUGGUAUGUGAGUGGAAAUGCCA